rnacentral:rRNA from 1 species
GCAAUGUCAGCCGUUUUCUUUAUGAAAGCGGCCAAACAUCAACUUAUUUUUUAACUGUCUGUCUGAAAACUAUUAUGAAUAAACAAUUCAAAUACAACUUUCAACAACGGAUCUCUUGGCUCUCGCAUCGAUGAAGAACGCAGCGAAAUGCGAUACGUAAUGUGAAUUGCAGAAUUCAGUGAAUCAUCGAAUCUUUGAACGCAUAUUGCGCUCUUUGGUAUUCCGAAGAGCAUGCUUGUUUGAGUAUCAGUAAACACCUCAAAGCCUUCAAUUCAGUUUGAAAGCUUUGGACUUGAGCAAUCCCAACAUCAGUCUCGCGACUGACGGAGGGCUGCUUGAAAUGCAGGUGCAGCUGGACAUUCUUCUGAGCUAUAAGCAUAUUUAUUUAGUCCCGUCAAACGGAUUAUUACUUUUGCUGCAGCUAACAUAAAGGGAGUCUGACCGUAUUGGCUGACUGAUGCAGGAUUUCACAAGGGCUGGCAACAGCUUCUUGUAAAACUCGAUCUCAAAUCAAGUAAGACUACCCGCUGAACUUAAGCA